GCACUCACUGGUGACCAGUGUCGUUGCAAAAGAACUAGCAACAAAGAAGUUGAAUAUAAACACGUCUUCUCCAAACUUUUUUGUUUGCUAUUUAACACAACGAUGGAUAAGUCCUUAAGUUGCAACAAGCCUUGUGAGAAUGGGAUUGGUGGCUUUCCUCAAAUGCCUGGUGAUCCCUUGCUGCUGUUAAUGCUUAUGAAUGAAGCACUAAAAAGAAAAUCAGAGGCUCCAUAUGUAUGGAUGGGACUUUUCCACUGAAGGACUUCACUGUGGACUCAUCAGGAAGCAAGGGAUCGAACCCGCGCCCCCUGCAUUG